UGUUAAAAAUUUCAUCCAUUUAUACCAUUAAAAAAUAGCGUGGUUGACGGAAUAACUAUACAGUGUAUGUAUGUUUCAUGCUGACAUAUAAGAAUCAGUUUUUUAUAAUAGAAACAAAUGAAAUUUUUAACA
rnacentral:pre_miRNA from 1 species